UGGAAAUCAAUUUUGUAUUUACAAAUAAAUUUUUGCAAAUAGUCGAAUAUGCGAAUACAGAAUCCAAGAAUCAGCUAGAAGGGCCCUAUAGGCUCCCCUCUAGCCAACAAGCUAGCAAAAAUCUUAGUUAGAAAAAGUGAAACUGCUGCCAUCCUUUCUAUUAAAAACUCCCUCAAGUUCUAUGCUUGCUACAUCAAUUACAUUUUUAUGACUGUUGAUAAUAAAGAAGUUGCCAGCAAUUUUGCCACAUAUAUCAAUAACAACCUGUAUGGACUAACUCUACAGCUCAAACAAUUACAUAGGAAGUGGAUGCAUUUUCUGGACAUAUACAUCACAAAGAAGACUAAUUUUUUUUCUAUUUCCAUCUUUAGAAAACCUAGCAACAGGCUCAGCCUCAUUCAUGAGUGUUCCAAAGAUACAGCUAGGUACAAGGACGCUAGCAUCUCUGCACUCAUUUGGCGAGCUUAUAAACUUUUUACGGAGGAAGCAGAC
rnacentral:lncRNA from 1 species